rnacentral:rRNA from 1 species
CCUUAGAGUUUGAUCCUGGCUCAGGAUGAUUUCUGACAGAAUGCUUAACACAUGCAAGUCGAUUCGAUUUACCUUCGGGUAUUGAGGAUGGCGGACGGGUGAGUAACGCGUAAGGAACUUGCCUCUUGGACUGGGACAACUGUUGGAAACGACAGCUAAUACCGGAUAUUAUGAGAUUCUCGCAUGAGAAACUUAUGAAAGCUAUAUGCGCCAAGAGAGAGCCUUGCGUUCCAUUAGCUAGUUGGUGGGGUAAUGGCCCACCAAGGCGACGAUGGAUAGCCGGCCUGAGAGGGUGAACGGCCACAAGGGGACUGAGACACGGCCCUUACUCCUACGGGAGGCAGCAGUGGGGAAUAUUGGACAAUGGGCCACAAGCCUGAUCCAGCAAUUCUGUGUGCACGAUGAAGGUCUUCGGAUUGUAAAGUGCUUUCAGUUGGGAAGAAGAAAGUGACGGUACCAACAGAAGAAGCGACGGCUAAAUACGUGCCAGCAGCCGCGGUAAUACGUAUGUCGCAAGCGUUAUCCGGAUUUAUUGGGCGUAAAGCGCGUCUAGGCGGAAAAAUAAGUCUGAUGUUAAAAUGCGGGGCUCAACUCCGUAUUGCGUUGGAAACUGUUUUUCUAGAGUACUGGAGAGGUGGGCGGAACUACAAGUGUAGAGGUGAAAUUCGUAGAUAUUUGUAGGAAUGCCGAUGGAGAAGUCAGCUCACUGGACAGAUACUGACGCUGAAGCGCGAAAGCGUGGGGAGCAAACAGGAUUAGAUACCCUGGUAGUCCACGCCGUA